rnacentral:lncRNA from 1 species
UGGUAAUCUGAUUGGAUAGCCAUUUCUUGCUGGGAUCACAUAACUCACUAUAAGCUAUUUUAUUAAAUCUCAUUUAUGUUCCUUCCAUACCUGUUGGUCAAGAAAAGUUGCCAGAUAUGUAGGGUGUAUAUUUUCGACGUUGAAAGAACACAGAGCAGCGCAGAAGAUGUGUUCUGAGGGGGCUGUAUAAUAAAUGCGAAUAUCAGGGACCGACGAAAUCUCUUGUAUAGAUAUUUUGCAAGAAAUAUCUGUAAAAAUAAAAAAUAAAAUUGCAAUCAAGUUAAGUACUACAUAAACAUGUGAUCUUGGCUUCAAAAAGAAAAGCACAAUCUUGGUAUAGAUUUCGUUAGAUGAAGUACUUGGAAUGGAAUCCAACUGUUUACAACAGAUCAAUAAUCCAAUUCUUUUGUCAAUUGCUUCCAUCAAUAAUCAUGAAAUAUUUAA